rnacentral:rRNA from 1 species
CAAGUCGAGCGGAGACUAUCAGAUGAGAGCUUCGGCAGGAUUCGGGUAAGUUUAGCGGCGGACGGGUGAGUAACGCGUGAGCAAUCUGUCUCAGACAGGGGGAUAACGCAGCGAAAGUUGCACUAAUACUGCAUGAGACCACAGGGCCACAUGGCCAAGGGGUCAAAGGAGCAAUCCGGUCUGAGGUGAGCUCGCGUCCUAUUAGGUAGUUGGUGAGGUAACGGCCCACCCAAGCCGACGAUAGGUAGCCGACCUGAGAGGGUGAUCGGCCACACUGGAACUGAGACACGGUCCAGACUCCUACGGGAGGCAGCAGUGGGGAAUAUUGGGCAAUGGGCGAAAGCCCUGACCCAGCAACGCCGCGUGAGUGAAGAAGGUCUUCGGAUUGUAAAUCUCUGUCCUAAGAGAAGAGGGGAAGACGGUAUCUUAGGAGGAAGCCCCGGCUAACUACGUGCCAGCCGCCGC